UCGGCCGCAGAGAGCAGCAAAUCCGAGAGGGACAAACCUGAGCGAAUGAGAAUCCGGCUCCCCGAAGAGACAUCACCUUAUAUGGGAACAGCACGGACAGGAGCAUGAACGGCCCGGCCGGGCUGCUGAGACUGAGCCCGGGAUUUGGAGGCCGGACCUUGAGAGCUCUGCAGGUUUCCAGCCCCAGCUCCUGUGUGUGCAGUGUCAGUGUGGCCUCACACCUCUCCUGCCCCUGGCCAGAGGCACACAGCUGGCUCAGAACACGCUGGGCAGCUGCAGCUCUGUGUGACAAGACAGUUGUCUAGCCACUUGUCACAGACUCUGACAGGAGAGGAUGAUGUUAGCAGCUCAGUGAGUACCAGUGUGAAGGAAGUGGCCCACAAAAGCAACAGGAUCUGGGUUACAGCAGAAUACACUGU